GCCGCACACUAUUAAAGCCCGGGCGGAGGCCAGUGCCGGCCGGUGAGCCCCUGGGUGUCGGAAGUGUGCCACAGCAAAGGCAGGCCUCUCGCUGACCCCUCGAGAGCUCGGCUCUGUGACUGGCGGUGAUAGUGUUUCCUGCCACAUAG